UGCUUGCACUUCUGACGUUAGCGGCGGACGGGUGAGUAACACGUAAGGAACCUACCUAUGAGCGGGGGACAACAUCCGGAAACGGGUGCUAAUACCGCAUAGUAAUUUGUCAGGCAUCUGACAAAUUGGAAAGACGGCUUUUGCUGUCACUCAUAGAUGGUCUUGCGGUGCAUUAGCUAGUUGGUGGGAUAAAAGCUUACCAAGGCCAUGAUGCAUAGCCGACCUGAGAGGGUAAUCGGCCACACUGGGACUGAGACACGGCCCAGACUCCUACGGGAGGCAGCAGUAGGGAAUCUUCCGCAAUGGGCGCAAGCCUGACGGAGCAAUGCCGCGUGAGUGAAGAAGGUUUUCGGAUCGUAAAACUCUGUUGUAAGAGAAGAACAAAUUGUAGAGUAACUGCUACAGUCUUGACGGUAUCUUACCAGAAAGCCACGGCUAACUACGUGCCAGCAGCCGCGGUAAUACGUAGGUGGCAAGCGUUGUCCGGAUUUAUUGGGCGUAAAGGGAGCGCAGGUGGUUUCUUAAGUCUGAUGUGAAAGCCCACGGCUUAACCGUGGAGGGUCAUUGGAAACUGGGAAACUUGAGUGCAGAAGAGGAAAGUGGAACUCCAUGUGUAGCGGUGGAAUGCGUAGAUAUAUGGAAGAACACCAGUGGCGAAGGCGACUUUCUGGUCUGUAACUGACACUGAGGCUCGAAAGCGUGGGUAGC
rnacentral:rRNA from 1 species